AACGAACGCUGGCGGCGUGCCUAACACAUGCAAGUCGAACGGAGUCAUAUUGAAGUAGCAAUACGGAGAUAUGAGUUAGUGGCGGACGGGUGAGUAACACGUAGGUAACCUACCCUUAAGCGGGGGACAACUCAGGGAAACUUGAGCUAAUACCGCAUAAGACCACGGGCUGAGAUGCCAGUGGGAAAAGGAGCAAUUCACUUGAGGAUGGGCCUGCGGCCUAUCAGGUAGUUGGCGGGGUAACGGCCCACCAAGCCUAAGACGGGUAGCCGGACUGAGAGGUUGAACGGCCACACUGGAACUGAGACACGGUCCAGACUCCUACGGGAGGCUG
rnacentral:rRNA from 1 species